AGAGUUUGAUCCUGGCUCAGAACUAACGCUGGUGGCGUGUCUUAGUCAUGCAAGUCGAACGAGAAAGCACCUUCGGGUGCGAGUAAAGUGGCGAACGGGUGAGUAACACGUGGGUAACCUACCUUUGAGUGGGGAACAAUCCCUCUAACGAGGGGCUAAUACCGCAUAAUGCAGCGGCUCCGCAUGGAGACAGUUGUUAAAGGGGCAGCUUCGGUUGUCUCGCUUGAAGAUGGACCCGCAGUCCAUUAGCUUGUUGGUGAGGUAACGGCUCACCAAGGCAACGAUGGAUAGCCGGCCUGAGAGGGUGUACGGCCACACUGGAACUGAGAAAGGUCCAGUCCCCUACGGGGGCCAGCAGUCUAGAAAUUUGCGCAAUGGGCGAAAGCCUGACGCAGCGACGCCACGUGGAGGAUGAAGCCCCUCGGGGUGUAAACUCCUGUCAGAAGGGAAGAAGGCGCGGGCGUUAAUACCGCUCGUUGCUUGACGGUACCUUCAGAGGAAGCUCCGGCUAACUACGUGCCAGCAGCCGCGGUAAUACGUAGGGAGCGAGCGUUGUUCGGAUUUACUGGGCGUAAAGGGCAUGUAGGCGGGUAUGCAAGUCGGUUGUGAAAUCCUCUGGCUCAACCAGAGAACUGCAGCCGAAACUGCACACCUUGAGUCCAGCAGAGGGAAUCGGAAUCCCAGGUGUAGCGGUGAAAUGCGUAGAUAUCUGGGAGAACAUCAGUGGCGAAGGCGGAUUCCUGGGCUGGUACUGACGCUGAGGUGCGAAAGCUAAGGGAGCGAACAGGAUUAGAUACCCUGGUAGUCUUAGCCGUAAACGAUGGGUACUAGGUGUUGGGGGACAUUGACCCCCUCAGUGCCGUAGCUAACGCAUUAAGUACCCCGCCUGGGGAGUACGGCCGCAAGGCUGAAACUCAAAGGAAUUGACGGGGGCCCGCACAAGCGGUGGAGUAUGUGGUUUAAUUCGAUGCAACGCGAAGAACCUUACCAAGGCUUGACAUCCUGCGAAUCUCCAAGAAAUUGGAGAGUGCCUUCGGGAACGCAGUGACAGGUGGUGCAUGGCUGUCGUCAGCUCGUG
rnacentral:rRNA from 1 species